CUCCCCCUCAGCUGGGCUGCUGACCCCAGAAUUAAGAAGAGGAAGAAGCCGGGCCAGGAGGGAGCGAGGAGGAAGUUCACCUGGAAGAAACGCUGAGGUGAAGGACAGAAUAGAACUGGACACAGGGAAAUCACAGCAACAUCUUCAUCAUUAUCUUCCUCUGAGAUCAGAACUGUUAUUAGUAAGUGGACAAAUUGUUCAUCCAACCCCUGUUGUAGCUUUUUAUAUGUCCCSUAAAGGUGUUUUAGAUCUGGAAAUGGACACCAAGUACAUGACUCAAAUACAUGUACAAAUUCAAAGGGGUUCUGUCCAUGUGAGGGCAGAAUUCCCAACUCCAUAUAGGCUGCAAUGUUUUUUUUCUGCCACCAGAGGGCCAUCUCUGGCAACACACCUGUCCAUUGUCUUUGUCUGUAUAUUGAAAAUAAAAAUGUUGUUUUUCAUAUA